CUUGGCAACACUGACCAUGAUUUUAGCUUGUCAGUUUUGAUCCGGUGGGCGAUGGUGCGCCAUAUUAAAUUUUGUUGUUUUCUUUCAAUAGAUAUUCGGACAAGUAAUUACCGGAAACCGGAAAAUGGUCUCCUCAGGAAACAGGAAACCUGAAUUCAAGGGCAACAGGCAUAAAAAACAGCCGACAACCAACAUCUUGACCGUCCGCAGCUGAUCAUUCAUCGGGAGCAUCGAACCAAGGAACUUUGUCGUCAAUAGAUUAAGUGCCAUCGACCAUGUUAACCAUCAACAGGAUGUGUACGGAACAUAACCAACACUCAACUACUUCCCAGAAACCAAUUGACUCCAAAAGCGCACCCAGCACAAGUACCGCAAAGACGGUAGCGGUCGUAUGAUUCGUGGCACACUCUACUCAUCUGCAGGCUGGAGGAUGGAGGUAACGGAAGAAGGCCAUUAAUGAAAAAUACAACACCCGGCUGACAAAGGAUCGCCAUACAAACAUGCGCUUCGUCGCUUCUUGCCAAACCCUUCGCAACAAAAUUGCCGGGUUCGAGACAAAUCUGAAGAAGCAUCUGCGUCAGCGUAGUUUUUCCAUCAAACUGCAGGAAAAAGAAUAUGAACACCGAGUGCCGCUCUGGAGCAGUUGAUGCGAGACCAAUCAGCAGUUGGACUUCAACAGCAUUGUCAUUCAGGACUACAACCGACGCAACUAAAUUUGUGCAGAUAUCCAAUCCAAGGUCCAAUGCAGAUCAAAAUUUGCUAGUAUGUCAGCAAAGAAUAACUGGUCAAAUACUGAGAGCAGAGCAGCUACACAAAAAACUAAUGAAUCUGAAAUGCAAAAGUGUGAAGAUUCUAAAAACACCAGAAAAGAAGCAUACAAAAAUGGAUGACGAACUAAUAGAGUAUUGUCGGAUAGUGCAUUGUCCGCUAGAACUAGCUCAUAUGUAAACGGGCCAUAACGGCGCCCCUUGCUGUCGGAUAGCCAACAGGAGAAAAAGCUCACUCCCAAGCAGUUAGUUCAGUGGAAAAAAGCCGAACAAAGACACGCUUCCAAACUGGAAAUGGAUGAGAAGAAGAAAAAAGAAGCUGGAGGAAAAGGAAGUUAAGCAGCGUGAAAUGGAAGAAAAGGAACUGUUGAAGGAGAAAGAGGAAAAGGAAGAGCAGAAGCACAAGGCACGGAAGGAGAAGGAACAGCAGAAACGCAAAUAAAAAGAAAAGAAGAAACUAAAAAGAAGAGAAGGAGCAGAGAAGGUUAGCGGAAAUUUAAGCAAAAACUGAAGAUAAGCAUAAGAAAGAGGAACCAAAGAAGGAAGAGCGUACGAAGAAAGAAGAGGAAAUUGGAGCAGAGGUGAAGUGCAAACAGAAGGCUGCUCAAGCCUUUUAGAGAUGGUGGAUCGAUGGAUCGUCAAUCUGUUGGAGAUGGUAGCUAUGUGGUUUUUAAAUGGCCUUUAUGUCCUACUGUGUGAAGGGCGAUAUGUGAUUGGCUCCAGUGUGCAGAAUGCAAGAUACGUUUGGAAGAAGUAUUGGUUGAAGCGGAUGCAGAAAAGAAUGAACGGGAUGGAUUGUACCUGCAGCAGUUAAAAACAACGUGGUUGGCAAAUGCGAUCGAACGAGGAAGGCAUCGGAUGACGAAGGAGAGGAUGACGAUGUAAUGAUUAUAGAUGACAACGUCGCCGACCGCCGUAUCGGGGAACGUAGCGGAAGCAAAGCACGCAGGCCAAACCACAACGUCUCUUCGUUCAGGACACUAAAUUCUUCGAUUACGAAGUCGACUCGGAUGACAAGUGGGAAGAGGAGGAACCGGGCGAAUCGCUACACGGCAGUGACGACAUGACACGACGUUCCGCAUGGUCACUUGACCGACGAAGAUAUGCAAGCAGAGGCUGACGUCAUUGAGGACAACAGUCCGAAAACCCAGAAGGCCAAGCUGAAAAUCAUGCCAAAAUGAAAAUGAAAACGUAGAAAAUGAAACCACGACUUAUCGAUUGCUUGUUGGAGAAUGGACCCGGGGAGGAACCAGAAUGUUCAGCUGUGAUUUGGGAGAUCCUCUCAAAGUUCGUGCCAUGUUGUUCGAUCCAGAGGAACUCAUUUCGUUUACGGUGCAGAAAAAUAAGCAGGAAUCAAACAGUUUAGCACCGUCAGAACAAACCGAGCCGAAAGCUCAAACAGAUUAACCUGAUUGACGAAGGUGUAAAAGAAGCUGACUACACUCAUUCACGAAAGCGAAGGGGCGAGGAAGAAAUUAAUACACGAUAGUAUCAGGACGAAAAUUCUACAAAAUGUGUUGGUCUGUAAACAAAAAAGGUAAAUACGGUCUGACGGACUUGAAAAUUACCAUUGGAUAGGAGUUUAUUCUGAAACUUAUAAUGCAAUCGGCUCCCAGCUUAGCAUUAGUGCUGUCCAAUGAGAGCUCUAAGUAGCUCGAAGUUUCUCCCUGUCCUGCUCAUGCCCAUUUGUUGACAAAAAAGAACGAGCAGGACGGGAACAACUUCGAGCUACUUCGAGCUGCUCAUUGGACAGCACUAUUGAUAUCAAAAACAUCUGCCGCUCCCGCCUCCAACAUCACCAAGGUUACGCGAUAAAACGACAAACGGAAGCAGUUUGCACCGAAAGGCAAGAAAUCUGCCACCUCAUCAGUGGCCGCUUCGCCCAGUUUGGCCGCAAAACCGGUGGCGUGUUGAACCGCUAAUAUCAGUACCACUGGGCCGCACAUAAAUUAGACCACCAAGAGCAAUCUAAUCAUCCAGCUUCAGGCCACAGAUGGCAUCGCUAACAACACCACAAGCAACGAUAAGAGCAAUGCCAGUAUGGUGUACCCGAUUGUGUACUAGGUAGGACUGCUGUGCCAACAUUUCUGGGCUGUAAGCAGUUGCUGCUCUGGACACCCUUUGUCACCUACCCGUGCCACUUGCCAAUAUGCCACUGACUGGAGUUCGACCCGCUGGUGUACAGUGACGGUUAAUCUGCAUCACACUGAUAGUCAUCGAUACUCGCCUUAAGGAAUAUGAAUAUUUAAAUACACUGAGUGCGCAUCAUUAUUCUGCGGAAAAAAAAAUAAAAGAAUAUCAAAAACAUGUUUUUGCCUUUCUCGUAUACUAAGUAUACGGUAAA